rnacentral:rRNA from 1 species
UACAGAGACUGCAAGCGUUAUUCGGAUUCACUGGGCGUAAAGGGUGCGCAGGCGGCCAAGUGUGUGAGGCGUGAAAGCCCGGGGCUUAACCCCGGAAUUGCACCUCAAACUACUUGGCUAGAGCAUUGGAGAGGGUAGCAGAAUUCAUGGUGUAGCAGUGAAAUGCGUAGAUAUCAUGAGGAAUACCAGAGGCGAAGGCGGCUACCUGGACAAUUGCUGACGCUCAGGCACGAAAGCGUGGGGAGCAAAAGGG